GAUGAACGCUAGCGAUAGGCUUAACACAUGCAAGUCGAGGGGCAGCACAAGGUAGCUUGCUAUCUGGGUGGCGACCGGCGCACGGGUGCGUAACGCGUAUGCAACUCGCCCUAUACAGGAGGAUAACCCGUCGAAAGACGGACUAAUACUGCGUAUGCUCACAACUUGGCAUCAAGUGGUGAGGAAAGAAAUUCGGUAUAGGAUAGGCAUGCGUCCCAUUAGCUUGUUGGUGAGGUAACGGCUCACCAAGGCAACGAUGGGUAGGGGAACUGAGAGGUUUAUCCCCCACACUGGUACUGAGACACAGACCAGACUCCUACGGGAGGCAGCAGUGAGGAAUAUUGGUCAAUGGGCGCGAGCCUGAACCAGCCAAGUCGCGUGAAGGAUGACUGUCUUAUGGAUUGUAAACUUCUUUUAUACGGGAAUAACAAGAGUCACGUGUGACUCCCUGCAUGUACCGUAUGAAUAAGCAUCGGCUAACUCCGUG
rnacentral:rRNA from 1 species